UACGAAGGGGACUAGCGUUGUUCGGAUUUACUGGGCGUAAAGCGCGCGUAGGCGGAUCGCUAAGUCAGGGGUGAAAUCCCAGGGCUCAACCCUGGAACUGCCUUUGAUACUGACGAUCUGGAGAUCGGGAGAGGUUGGUGGAAUUCCGAGUGUAGAGGUGAAAUUCGUAGAUAUCGGGAGGAACACCAGUGGCGAAGGCGGCGAUCUGGGUCGAUACUGACGCUGAGGUGCGAAAGCGUGGGGA
rnacentral:rRNA from 1 species